CAUGGCCUUGUAAAACUUAAAAGUAGCUGUCUACGAAGCAACUUAAUCAGAUAAAAUAAAAUGAAGAGAUCAGGAAGGACAACCAUUUGCAUCAUAGAAUACAUUGUCUUGUUUUUUGUGGGAGCAGGGCUAGCUCUUGUAAUAACAGACCGUCAGUUAGUAGCAGAUAUUUUCUUGGUUUUUGUGACGGUAUCACACUCGCAAAACAAGAGCAGCACAAAUACAAAAUAGUCUACAUCGGCAAAUCAAUGCGAUUUCGUUUGAUAUUAUCUGCCAUAAACCGCGGGGAGGACGGCGAUCGAAGAAAAAUCGAGAAGUCGCUGAUCUGCCGGCUAAAUCCCUUGGGAGAAAUGGUAGCCUCGUGUUCUCCUUUGCUCUCGCUGUCUGUCGGUCCUGAAAUUCCUGGUUCCUGAGGCGAGCGAGGCCUCAAAUCUUUACCACAAAAAGGAGAUGUACAACAUUGUGUGGGUUUAGGCACAGUGGCGGCAGGAAGAAGAGUCCAAGGUCCCGCACGUAUCUAUCCAGGCGAGCGUGCGAUUCGGAUGGUACAUUGAAAAUGGUGCUGCAGGUCGACCGUCGACAAGCUGUGCUACUCUCAGCAAGUCGUUGCAGACUUGUAGGUUGGCCGUAACGCACAGUUUCUUGCUUGGACUUCAAAGGAUAUCCACAUGCUGACAUAUACAUAGCACAGCGUACUGGCACUUUCCUAUAAUAUCCAUCCUCUGUGAGCAAUGCUGCUAACUGGAUAUGUAAAUGGAGUGAUGAAGGCCGUGUUGAUUAGUUGCAGUCAACAAUUUAACUCGCUUGAGAGACAGGGUAGUGCUGACAAUCCUCCGGAGGCUAAUUCGUUCCUAGCCUCCGACUCCUAGCACGACACGUGUCCCUCUGGGACCCCCGAUGUGCGUCUUCAAUCCCGCACAGAAAAAGCAAACAAAUCCCCACCACACCGACGGCUACGGCAGCACCCAGACGCACCACCGUCCCGAACACAGGAAGAAAGAAGCCCGGCGAGUUCGCCGGAGACGUGUCAACUCCGGUGAGCAGCACCACCGCCGCUGGACGCAGCACCACCGCCCCGGCUUUGCAGCACCCCGGACGACGGUCGCGGCACCGCCGCCUCGGCUUGCAGCACCCGCCAUCAGCAAUCACAGUACCCAUGGCCUCCACCUCCGGCGACGGAGGGGCGGGAGGGAGCUGGGGUUACGGACCUCCGCGCCGGCCUCCAUCUCGGGCGACGGCAAGCGCCGGGGGAACUAGGGCGGCGGGAGGUAGCCAUGGCUGCUCGCCCCUUUCUAUGCGGUGGAAGAGGAGAAAUUGGUGAAGUGGUUGGGGGAGAAUGAGUGGUUGGAAACGACGGGGUGAAGAGAUAAGGUGUAGGUGGGCCCCUCCAUCCUCAGCUGUCACCCACGUUUGGGGACGCGUGGCACAACUUAGGGCGUGCGAUGGAUGCAUCCGAAGGCCACGAGCGCGUGCCUCCGCCUGAAACACAUCGUUUUCCAUCGAGAUAUCUCAACCUUAACCCUCAAGAAUAGUGUGGCCGGGGUCGGCGCUCGCCGACCAUUGCACCAAGUCCACAUCUUCGUCUAGUUGCGCUAGUAUAAGCAAAGCAGCCGCCUGUUCACAAGGGAAAAAGACAUGUCUGGGCGGGACCUGCAAGCUUUUCAAUGUUUAUGGCCGCCCCCGCCCACCGCUCCGAGCUCCUCCGACGACUGCAGACUGCAGGAUUCGCUUCAGCCGUCCUGCCUAAGUCUCAGGAACGACUCCUCGAUCGGGCGACGCUUGUGCUGCAGUUUCUUCCGAGCUCGUCACUUGUUGGAAAAUGCUGCUGUUAAUCAGUUCUAGAGCAUUGUACUGACAAAUGAAACGGGAAAAUAUCUUAGUGGAGGAAAGCAAUGGAGGGAUAAACAUGUUACAAUAUGCAGAUGAUACGGUUUCCCCUAACUUGUAAUAGUGAACAUGUGAUUUCUAUUAAUAGAAAUCGGAGGGAGCUGAAAGAACAUUUCAUGACCUCUAGUGUUUUGUGUGUUUGACGACAACACCGGUGACUAUUUGAUACUA